rnacentral:rRNA from 1 species
GACAGAGGGGGCAAGCGUUGCUCGGAAUUACUGGGCGUAAAGGGCGCGUAGGCGGCAAUUCAAGUCAUCUGUGAAAUCUCCGGGCUUAACUCGGAAUGGUCAGGUGAUACUGCUUUGCUAGAGUGCAGAAGGGGCAAUCGGAAUUCUUGGUGUAGCGGUGAAAUGCGUAGAUAUCAAGAGGAACACCUGAGGUGAAGACGGGUUGCUGGGCUGACACUGACGCUGAGGCGCGAAAGCUAGGGGAGCAAACGGG